rnacentral:tRNA from 1 species
GGUUCCACAGUGUAGCGGUCAGCACGUCUGCUUUGCACGCAGAAGAUCCCGGGUUCGUGCCCCAGAAGAGCCA